rnacentral:rRNA from 1 species
GAUGAACGCUGGCGGCGUGCCUAAUACAUGCAAGUCGAGCGAACAGACGAGGAGCUUGCUCCUCUGACGUUAGCGGCGGACGGGUGAGUAACACGUGGAUAACCUACCUAUAAGACCGGGAUAACUUCGGGAAACCGGAGCUAAUACCGGAUAAUAUAUUGAACCGCAUGGGUCAAUAGUGAAAGACGGUUUUGCGGUCACGUAUAGAUGGAUCCGCGCCGCAUUAGCUAGUUGGUAAGGUAACGGCUUACCAAGGCGACGAUGCGUAGCCGACCUGAGAGGGUGAUCGGCCACACUGGAACUGAGACACGGUCCAGACUCCUACGGGAGGCAGCAGUAGGGACUCUUCCGCAAUGGGCGAGAGCCUGACGGAGCGCCGCCGCGUGAGUGAUGAAGGUCUUCGGAUCGUAAAACUCUGUUAUUAGGGAAGAACAAAUGUGUAAGUAACUAUGCACGUCUUGACGGUACCUAAUCAGAAAGCCACGGCUAACUACGUG